GCUAGGCGUGACAGUGUGCACCUGUAAUCCCAGCUGCUCAGGAGGCUGAGGCAGGAGGAUUGCUCGAGUCCAGGAGUUUGGGGCUGCAGUGAGCUAUUAUUGUGCCACUGCACUCCCACCUGGGCAACAGAGCAAGACUUCAUCUCUA
rnacentral:SRP_RNA from 2 species